CUGAGCCACUGCUCCUGCACCAGGGGGAGGCCUCUGAAAGAAGAAAUGGAGAAGCCAUGGUUCUCUGAAGAGAGGGCCUUGUGUGGAGCGUGCCUGGAAUGAGAGGAGCAGAGGGAGGCUCCUACACUCUCCCCGGCGGGGUCUGGCAAGCAGGCGGUGCCUGGCAUCCCUGGAUCUCCAGGGCCUGGCACCGUGACUGACACACAGUAGGUGCCUGUGGAUGUUUGUUGAAUGACUGAGUGAAACGAAUGGGAAGUAAGCCGGAGUGGGUGGGUCACUGCCUGGGCUGGCUGGGAGCUUUCACAGGGUGAGGGGAGAAUUGGGAAAGGGGUGGGUGAGGGUGGAAGGUUAACUUUCCAGGGAGGAGAGAUCCCGUGUUCUGGUUUGCCUCUGCCUCAGGCCUUUUCUGUGGACAUCUGAGACUCCAGAACAAAAUGUUUUGACUUUAUCCUAAGGCUGGUCAAACCACCCAGGGGCCCCCCCCAGCGGCCCCAUUUAUUCAUAUGGUCUACUCAUUCACAGUUACUGAGUAGUGAUGGGGACCCUGGCAGUAACCCUGUGUCCCCACUCAAGGCACCUAGUCUCCUUUAGCCAUUCCUUGGUGAGCUGGGUAUGUAAAUGUUGGGGGGAAGUGAGCCCAUUAAAUACUGGGAAGGGGUUUUGGCUCUCUGGAAACCCAGCUAGUGGGGAAAUGGGCUUAGGCCUUGGUUCCUGGGCAAUUGGGCCAUUGAUCUUUCUGGACAAGUGUGAGCAAUAUGUGUAUAUAUGCCGUGUGUGUGUGUGUGUGUGUGUGCGCGUGCACGAGGUGUCUGCAAGCAUGAGUAUGGGUUGCAAGAAUGCCUUGCCCUUGAUGUAACAAAUUACCACAAGCUGGAUGACUUGAAAUAACAGAAGUGUAUUUUCUCACAGCUCUGGAGGCCAGAAGUCUGAGAUAAAAGGGGCAGCAGUGUUGGCUUCUGCCGGAGGCUCUGUGGGAGAAUCUGUUCCAUGCUUCUCUCCUAUCUUCUGGUGGCUGUCAGUAAUUCUUGGUGUUCCUUGGCUUGUAGAUACAUUGCUCCAUUCUCUGCCUUUGUCUUCACAUGGUGUUACAUGGCUUACAAUUCUCUGUUUCCGUCUCUUAUAAGGACUUGUCGUUGGACGUAGGGCUCUCCCUAAUCCAGGAUGAUCUCACCUGAAGACCUUUACCUUAAUUACAUCUGCAAAGGCCAAAUAAGUUUACAUUCUGAGGUUCUGGGUGGUUAUACCUUUUUGGGGAACACCGUUCAACCCAGUACAAACAAGAUGCAAAUGUGUUCGUUGUUGGAUUACUCUACUGGUGGACCAUGUGUGUGCUUAAAUAAGCAACAAACAGGGGUACUGAGAGGGAGAGAGACUGAUUUUGUUUUUGAAAGAAUUUGAUACUUCAAAAAAAUGAAGUCUUUGUGGAACAAAUAUGAUUUAAGAUAGUUUUAAAUUUGAAUUUUACACAGAAGUGGGAGAAAGAAAGCAUAUUUUCCCUGCCUUGGUCCCUAAAGAUGUUGAUCAAUGUAAUUAGUGAAUUAUAAAUAGUUCAGUAUGGUGACAAGGUAGAAUGUGAAGGAGUCUUUUUGUUGGCGGUGGUUUUUUUUUUUUUUUUAAGUUUAUUUAUUUUGAGAGAGAAAAUGCAUGGGAGCAGGGGAGGGGUGGAGAGAGAGAAGGAGAGAGGGAUCCCAAGCAGCCUCCCGGCAUCAGGCUGUCAUUGUAGAACCUGAUGUGGGAUUUGAUCUCACGAACCGGUAGAUCGUGACCUGAGCCGGAAUCAAGAGUCGGCCGCUUAACCGACUGAGCCAUCCAGGCACCCCAUGUUGUUGGUUUUAUUCUGUUUUGUGUCUUGCAAUUAUUGAGGCCACUGGUGACCUUAGCAGGAGCAACCGCCAUGUCCUUAACAUCCUUGGGUUGGGGUUGAGGAUUGAAUGAAAGUGAGAAGAUUGUUAGUGUGGGUAUCUUUUUGCAAGGAGCUUGAUUGCGAAGUGAGAGAAGAGACAUAGUGGUCUCUGAGAUGCGGUCUGUGACCUUAGAAGGUUAAUUAAUGAUUUGCUAUUUGUGCUUGCCACAAUUUAACUGCUGCCAGAACUUCUUAGGGAUGGUAUCCACUGAUGACAUCUCUGAAAGGGUGCAAACUGAGGUUGCCGUCUAGCCCAAAGCUUCCCCUCAGGUGUGCCUUGGGUAAAGCAGCGGCUCCUCAUCAAAUUCAACAGCUUGACAGAACCUCAGUGUGCCAGCCCAAUGCCCUCUCUGUCCUUUGUACAGUGUCUCUCCUGCCUGGCUGUUCUUCCUCCAUGACCUGCUUGACUUUUAAAGCUCAGCUGGAAUAUUCCCUGUUUAUUCUACCCUUCCCCCUUGAAGUUGCUCAUUCUUUAGAACCCCCAUCGCACCUGUAAAUUACAUACAUAGCACUUUUCAUGAUAAGCAUUAUCAGCACCAAUGACCUGUUUCCAUUACUACUCGAAUCCAGGUUUCGUGCAGUAGAUGUAUUCUUCUAAGCAGCAAUGUGCCUUAGACGAAACUCACCCUUCCCCAGGCCAAGGGUGGGUCUGAUGGGCCUGAAGGUAAUCACAUUCCUGUUGCCAGAGGUUGAUUCAGGGAUGGGCAUGUCACCCAAUCCUGGCCAAUGAGACACGGGAGACUUUUGAGAAACGUUUUCUUGCUCCUAAGCGAACAAAAGAGAUGUUGUCUCUUCUUUCUCAAGGUCUUGUCAUGUCUGGAAAUAUUGAAGCCAUCUUGCCAUCACCUUGAGAAGGAGUUGAAGCCUGAGGAUGGCAGAGCAGAAAGACGGUAAGAGCCUAGAUCUGUAAUCACAUAGCUGGGCCACUGAAACUGCCUACCCAGCUCUCUGCCCCUUAAGAAUUACAAUUAUUGCAAUGAAUGCAUUUCCUUAUUGUUUAAAGAUGCUUGAAUCUGUUUCUCUGGCUUGAGGCCAAAAGCAUCCUAACUGAAACAACUUGCCAUAUCAUAAAUAUUGGUCAAUUAUAACUUGAUUUUAAAGUGAUGGCCUUCGAAACAAAAGAGCAUGUUGUCCGAGUUCUUGUCAUGCACUAGGAUUUGGAAAAGUAAAAUACGGUAUUCCCGUGGCCUUCUCCUUAGAGGCCCAAGGUUAUUUCAUGUAUUUGACUAUGCCACUCAGAUGGUAGAAGCAAAAUUUCUUUUUCUGGAAGAUUAAGAAAAAAUUGGUCUUGAGCUAUUUGAGGGAAAGUAAACAAAGUUAUAAGACCCAGAGAAGAAACCUCAUUUCCAUUGGAUCACUGACCCAAAGGAAAGUCUCUUUGGGGAGAUACAUAAGUAAAGCUUUAAAAAUUGAAGUACAAUUAAUUAUAGUUCACUUUGUUUUGUUUUUUUUUUUCUUUUUUUUUAUUCUCAAGUUAACAUACAGUGUAGUUUUAGCUUCAGGAGUAGAACCAGUGAUUUCAUCUCUUAUGUAUGACACCCAGUGCUCAUCCCAAAAAGCACCCUCCUUAAUGCCAGUCACCCAUUUAACCCACCCCCAUCAACCCUCAGUUUGUUCUCUGUACUUAAGUCUCUUCUGGUUUGCCUCCCUCUCUGUUUUUAUCUUAUUUUUCCUUCACUUCCCUUAUGUUCAUCUGUUAAGUUUCUCAAAUUCCACAUAUGAGUAAUAUCAUAUGGUAUCUGUCUUUCUCCGACUAACUUAUUUCAUUUAACAUCAUACCCUCCAGUUCCAUCCGUGUUGUUGCAAAUGGUGAGAUUUCAUUCUUUUUCAUUGCUGAGCAGUAUUCCAUUGUGUAUGUGUAUAUAUUAUAUAUAUAUAUAUUAUAUAUACACAUACACACCACAUCUUCUUAAUCCAUUCGUCAGCUGGUGGAUAUUUGGGCUCUUUCCAUAAUUUGGCUACUGUUGAUAGUGCUGCUGUAAAAAUUGGUGCAUGUGCCCCUUUGAAUCAGCAUUUUUGUAUCCUUUGGAUAAAUUCCUAGUAGUGUAAUUGCUGGGUCAUAGGGUAGUUCUAUUUUUAAUUUUUUGAGGAGCCACCACACUUUUCUCCAGAGUGGCUGCACCAGUUUGCAUUCCCACCAACAGUGUAAGAGGGUUGCCCUUUUUCACAUCCUCACCAACAUCUGUUGUUUCCUGAGUUGUUAAUUUUAGCCAUUCUGACGGGUGUGAGGUGGUAUCUCAUUAUGGUUUUGAUUUGUAUUUCCCUGAUGAUGAGUGAUGUUGAUUGAGCAUUUGUUCAUGUGUCUGUUAGUCAUUUGGAUAUCUUCUUUGGAAAAGUCUUCUGCCCAUUUCUUCACUGGAUUUUUUGUUUUUUGGGGUAUUGGUUUGGUAAGUUAUUUAUAGAUUUUAGAUGCCAACCCUUUAUCUGAUAUGUCAUUUGCAAAUAUCUUCUCCCAUUCCAUUAGUUGCCUUUUAGUUUUGCCGAUUGUUUCCUUUGCUGUGCAGAAGCUUUUUACCUUGAUGAGGUCCCAGUAGUUCAUUUUUGCUUUUAUUUUCCCUUGCUGAUUAUAGUUAAAUUCUAAAAAAUUAAAAUAGGGUACCACUGGCUCAUGAAGAGAGAAAUGAAACAGAAUCAAUAUCGAGAAGUAGAGCCCUAAACAUAGGGGGAUUUAACAUAUAAUAAAAGUCUCAUUUCAAAUCACUGAGGAAAACUAGAUGUUUUGUCAAUGCUGUUUGGACAACAUGGUAGCCAGCUAUAAUAAUAAAUACAUAAAUAAAUUUGAAACCAUACCUCACACUUUACCAAAGAAAUUCUGAAUGGGUCAAAGAUUUUAAAUAUAAAAAUGUGAAAUCACAAAAAUAUGAAAAGAAAUAUGGACUAUAUUCUUGUAAUUUAUGACCAAAGAAAACUUAAAAUUUUUUUAAUGUUUAUUUAUUUUUGAGAGAGAGAGAGAGAGAGAGCGCGAGCGAGCGUGCAGGAGCAGGGGACAGACAGAGAGACAGGGAGACACAGAAUCUGAAGCAGGCUCCAGGCUCUGAGCUGUCAAGACAGAGCCUGACGCAGGGCUUGAACUCACAAACCAAGAGAUCAUGACCUGAGCUGAAGUCAGAUACUUAACUGACUGAGCCACCCAGGCACCCCCGAAAAAAACCUUUUAAAAUAUGACAUAAAUUAUAGCAGAUAUAAAAUAAAAGAUUGAAAAAUUCAACCAUGUUUUUAAAACUAUGCAUGCAAAAACAACCAUAAGUGGUGUCAAAAGUCAAUGGACAAAUUGGGAAACGUAUCUGCAACUUGUUCCUACAUAACCAGUAAGAAAAAGACCAACAGCACACUACAAACGUGGGUAAAGGAUAUUGUGUUAGGUGACAUAGAUUGGCACUUUGGAAGUUAUCUAUCAAAAUUACAAAUAUGUAUAAUCUUUGAUUCAGAAAUUAUAUGAAUUAUUUGUACUAAUUCUAUUAGUAGCAAUUCUUUUAAAUUACAGACAUAUUCCUCGAUGUGGGAAUCCCUUAUUGAACAAGAUUAUUCAUUGCAGCGUUAUUUGUAGCAUCAAAAAAUUGGAAAUAGUGGAAAUGAUCACCAACGGGAGAGAAAUAACCACUGAUGGUUAGACAAAUGGUCCUAUGUUAAUAUAAUGGGUUACUACUUGUCGUGGGGGAGGAUUGAGGAGCUCUUUGUUACUUGUGUGAUCUCUGAUACAUACUAAGUAAAAGUAAGGAAUGGAACAGAAUAGUUACUAUUUGUGUAAACAGAAGAUGGUGGGAGGUGCUUUGCGCAAGUUUACUUGUAUGUUUCUGAAAGGAAAAGUAGGAAAUCAGUGAUACUGAAGCCUCUGGAGAGGAACUGGAAGGCUAGAGCAUGUGUGUGGAAGGGAGGCAUCACUGUAUAAAAUUAUAUGCCUUUGACUUCUGAACGAUGUGAGUGUAUUACCUAUUCCAAUUCCAACCGAAUAAAUUACACUUAAAAAGAUAUUUUGAGGGGUGCGUGGGUGGCUCAGUCAGUCAAGGGUCCUACUCUUGAUACUGGCUCAGGUUGUGAGAUCAAGCCCCACAUUGGGCUGUGCACGGAGCGUGGAGCCUGCUUGGGAUUCUCUCUCUCCCUCUCUCUCUCUGCACCUCCCCUGUUUAUGCUCUCUGUAUCUCUCAAAAUAAGUAUAUAAACUUAAAAAAAAAAGGAUAUUUUGAAAGCAAGGAAGAGAAAUAGAAAAGCCCUCAAUGCUUUAAAAACCAAAACUGAGGGAUGCCUGGGUGGCUCGGCUGGUUGGGUGUCCAACUUCGGUUUAGGUCAUGGUCUUGUGGCUUGUGGGUUUGAGCCCUCCAUCAGGCUCUGUGCUGACAGGUCAGGGCCUGGAGACUGCUUCAGAUUCUCUGCCUCCCUCUCUCUCUGCCCUCCCCUGCUCGGGCUCUGUCUGUGUCUCUGUCUCUCAAAAAUAAGUAAACAUUAAAAAAAAAAUUAAAAAAAAAAUAAAAAUGAAAACUGAAAAUGAGGAACUGUAGAUCUAAUUCAGUAAAUGGAGGACACCCCUGUCUAGCAGGAGUAGGGUCCAGCAUCUCCACCUUUUGCAGCUCUCUACCGACCUCAGAUAGGGUGGGGUUUCAUUUGCCAGCCCUAAGCCCUCUCCCUACCACUUCCCAUUCCUCCAGCCCCAAGGUCAAGCUGUCUGCCGGGGAUUCGCCUCUAUGCUUCUGUCUUCUUCAUACCCAGGGCAGAGCACUAAGCUGAGGGCAUUCUACUUUUCUUUGCUGGGCACAAGUCAUGGGUGCAAUUGUUUGCCUGAAGGGUGGGAGAGUAAUUGAGACCCUUAAUUUUGGAAAAUUAGACUAAGGCAGAAGAAAAUGAAAGCCGGUAGGAUGUAGGAAGUUUUCACCCACAGAGUAUUGUAACAGGGUGAGUGAGAGGAAAUGGUAAUAAAUCAUAGAAAGGAGAACCACCUGCUUGCCACACUUUGGCUGAAUUUUUCUCUUCUCAGAGUUCUGUAGUUGAUGCCUUAUUAACAUCAGAGAGGAUUUGAUGACUUGUGGUAUUCAGUCCUGACUACUGAAAUGAAAAGGAUAGAAAAUGAAAAGUAUGGAAAAUGAAAAUCAAUUGCAUUCUCUAAUUUUAGUCAGCCCAUUCCUGGAGCAUAUUGAAUACUACUUUGGGGUCUUUCAUUGUUCAGGUUAUUAAUAACAAAGAACCAAAGUAUUUCACAUUCCUAAAGAGCCUUUCAUCUCAAAGGAGCCAAUGUAAUUCACUAAUUCAGUUACCUGAACUACAUUUGGUAAUUAUUUGAGGAUCACUUCACCCAGGGGUGAAUUUCAACGAGUUGUGUGACACCGCCAACAGUCACUUCAUUCUCCAGUCAGUGCGAAAGAAAAAUGAAUAGCUAAUGGGGAUGUCCUCCUGAAGGAUUUGCCCAGUGAAAACUUCAGGGAGAUGGAUGCUGAAAGAAUGUAAUUAACUGCCCGAAAUUAGUACCUCCACUCUUACUCAAGGUUUCCUGACCUCUUUACUAGAGUCAGGGUGGAGAGGUGUCUUAUCUCAGAAUGGGACUCUCUAGCAGCCAAGAGACCUGUGAACAGCCAUCACUCCAUUGCUAUAUUUUUUUGAGUAGUUAUAAAUGGUACUGUAUUUUUAAUUUGUUUCCACAAAUUCACUGUAAGAAUAUAGAAGCACAAUUAAUUUUUCUGUUGUUAUAACUGAUUUUUGUAUGUUGAUCUUAUAUCUGCGAUCUUGCUGAACUUAGUAGUGUGAAGAAUGUUUUUUUAAGAUUCCUUAGGAUUUUCUAUGUAGACCAUGAUGGCAUCUGCAAAUAGGGACAUUUUUAGUUCUUUUGUCUUAUCUGUAUGCCUCUAUUUUCUUUUCUUGCCUUAUUAAGCUGGCUAGAUCACAGGAAUAGCAGUGGUGAGAGCAUACAUUUUUGCCGACAUCUUUACCUUGUACCUGAUCUUUGGGGAAAAACAUUCAGUCUUUUACAAUUAGAAAUAAUACUAGCUAUAGGUUUUUUGUUGGCAUUCUUUAUCAAACUGCUGUUCCUAGUUUUCUGAGAGUUUUUUUUUAAUUGCAAAUAGGUAUUGAAUUUUUAUCAAAUGUUUUUUCUGCAUCAAUUGAUACAGGCACAUGAAAUUUCCUCUUCAUUAAUAUGGUUGACUACAUGGGUUGACUUUUGAACAUUGAACCAGACUUGCAUCCUGCAAAUAGCAGUUAUUCCAAUACUAUCUAUAUUAAAGUUCAUUUAUAAGGAAUAGUGUCUCAGUUAUUUGGGGGUGGGGUGGGGAGAAGAGAGAGGUUAAGUAGCUGGAGCUCUUCCUGCCGAGGGCAUGUGGCUUGAUCCACUUUACUGAAUCCAGUAAGACUUCUUUCUCUCUUUCAUCUACUCUCUACAAUUAACCAGAGGUCAGGAAACUGUGGCUAGCAUGACAACUGCUCAUUACCCUUGAGUCUGGUCAUUAGAAAGUAUAACAUGGAGUCUGGCCACUGCAAAAGCUUGUGUUUGUGGGAACAGGCUCAUCAGUCACUGCUGUCCCAGAAAGAAUGAUCUCCACUUCCCUUCUGCAUGCCAGAUGACACAUGAGUACAUUUUAAUGGCAGAUGAUAAAUCAUAUCUAAAACCCUAGCAGAGGGGCACCUGGGUGACUCAGUCAGUUAAGUGUCCAACUUCAGCUCAGGUCAUGAUCUCGAGGUUCGUGAGUUCAAGCCCCGCGUUGGGCUCUGUGCUGACAGCUCAGAGCCUGGAGCCUGCUUUGGAUUCUGUGUCUCCCUCUCUUUCUGCCCCUCCCCUGCUGAUGCUCUGUCUCUCCCUCUCUCUCAAACUAAAUAAACAUUUUUUAAAAAAAAAAUUUUUUAACCCUAGCAGAAAAGGAGUCAGGAAAAUAAGGUUUUAAGCCUCCCAACCCCUGUGAUGCAGAGGGGAGCAUAGAAACAGGCAGAAAUAGAUGCUGAGGGCCAAAAGACAAAUUUUAGCACUUCCAUCUGCCUCACUGAAUCUGAUAGGAAACAGACACCUUCCAUCUCCUCUUCUUACUCUCUAAAUUUUUCCUCUUAAAAUUUAAUGUCCUCUUUCCUCUUUUAUUUCCCUCAGCAUCAUUCAAAAACCUACUCAGAAGGAUGUAUUUGCAAAGGUGGACUUGGGGUGGAAAAGAAAGAGGUGAGACGCAAUGCAAAUAGGAUAUCUGUUAUUUGAAUGAUCUAUUUGAAUGUGUGGAGAUGUUUGAAAAGAGAAAAAAAGAAAAGAAAAGAAAAAAGAAAGAAAGAAAGAGAUUGACUAUUUCCAGAAGAGUCUAAAUUUGGGCAGCUGGAGUGGUCUGAGUGGGCACAUAUGUAGGCUGGAGAUGGUGUGCAGAGUGAGCAAGGGUUAAGUAAAAACAGGGCUCAUGAAAGGUCUGGGGCUCAGUAAUGGGACAUGACUCCAACAAAGUGAGAGGAAUAGAUGGGCAAUGAUCAUGUUCAGAGAAACAGAGCCAAGGACUUGAGUAGGACAGCUAUAGCUUAGCUGGCAAGUCAAAGUUGAAAUCAAGUCAGUUGGGAAGGAGAAUUUGGAGUCAGGGUCUGGGAUUGCUCCAGGGACUCUGAUUGAGCAGGCUCUGGUCCUCAGCCCUCAGCUGCUGCUUAUUAUUUGAGGUGGCAUGGUGUGAAUAGGAGUCUCUAUAAUCAGUGAGCCUUGUGUGUAUCACUUUUGAUUCAGGGUCUGAAGUGAUUUCUGUGGAUGGGUGGGGGGCUCAACCAGACAGUUGCUGAUUUCCAAGACCCCAAGAUCUUUGUACUUUAGCUCUUUCCCCAGGUCCCAGGUGAGAUAUUCUGCCAAGACAGAGCCUGAUUAGAAGUCAAAGUUGUGUGAAAGGCCCAGAGAUGGACUUCCUUCCUUCCUGCCUUCCUUCCUGCCUUCCUUCCUGCCUUCCUUCCUUGCCUUCCUUCCUUGCCUUCCUUCCUUGCCUUCCUUCCUUGCCUUCCUUCCUUGCCUUCCUUCCUUGCCUUCCUUCCUUGCCUUCCUUCCUUGCCUCCCUUCCUUGCCUUCCUUCCUUGCCUUCCUUCCUUGCCUUCCUUCCUUGCCUUCCUUCCUUGCCUUCCUUCCUUGCCUUCCCUCCUUCCCUNNNNNNNNNNNNNNCUUCCCUUCCCUUCCCUCCCCUUGCCUUCCCUUCCCUUGCCUUCCCUUCCCUUGCCUUCCCUUGCCUUCCCUUGCCUUCCCUUGCCUCCCCUCCCUUUCCUUCCUUCCCUUCCUUCCCUCCUCCCCUUUUCCUGUUUCUUUCCUUCUUCCUCCUUCCCUUUCCUCCCUUUCCCUUCCUAAAAAAAAACAAAAAACAAAAACAAAAAACAAACAAACAAAAAAACCAGUUAGGAACUUUUUCCCAUGUGGAAGACUACCGAACCCUUGAAUAAAUAAGUAUAUUAAGUCUGAUGGAUUAGAGAGGUCUGGACUAUGGGAGGUAACAAGAGCCACUGAGUAACAAAAUACCUUCCUUAAGGACUCAGCUCCCUAGAUUCCUCCAGUCUUUAUGUAACACCUCAGAGCACAGCUGCCCACAGCUCUCCAGCUCAUUAGUCUUCAGGGAGUUAGAAUGCAGCUUGAAGGUAUUGGGGGUGACUGAUUUUAUUCUUGCAUGGAUCAGGGCAUUUUGUACUGCUUGGUGGCCCCAGACUGCUCCUUAGACUGGUCUACAAGUAUGGGAUAUUGGUUUCAAGAAGCAUGAAACUGGCAUCAUCAGAUCCAUUGGCAAGUUUGGAGAAGUAUCAUCUCAGGAGCAGUGAUAUGCCCCAAGUGUCCUUCUCACAUAUGAAGUACUAAAUGUUUUUUCAUGCCAGUGAUUUUCAAAUUAUUUUGCCUUUAAAUUAUUUUUUUCUCUAUCCAGAUAAAAUCUUACUUGGAAACUGAAUAUAAAAAUCAAAUGAAAGAGGAACUAUUUCGAUUGAACAUUGGUGACAUUCAGAA
rnacentral:lncRNA from 1 species